rnacentral:ncRNA from 2 species
UCUUUGCAUCCGAAAUAAGGUUGUGAUUUAGAAUCAUUAAAAUCACAUUAAAAGGGAAUUUGGAUAAAAACCAAAGCUGUACCCGCAACUGUAAGCUAUCAAGCUUGUUGUUAACUACAAAACCAUUGUUCCGAUACAUCGGAAUGAGAAGGUAAACAACAAGACGCAAGCCAGGAGACCUGCCUUUUUUAUAACAAAUAU